CAAGGACCCACAGCGUGAGGAGCUGCCCCACGAGCGGGACACGGUGACGCUGUGGCUGCAUACCAUGACCGCCGUGGCCAUCAUCAGCCUCGCCCCCUACCUCCUCCUCCUCCUCCUCCCCUUGGAUUCGGCCUCACCACGCAACCAAGACCUCCUCAAGCUCCUCCUCGCCUUCGCCGCGGGGGGAUUGUUGGGCGAUGCCUUCCUCCACCUCAUCCCCCACGCCUUGGCACCGCACGCGCCCGGCGCCCAUGCGCACUCGC